GUGAACGCUGGCGGCGUGCCUCAUACAUGCAAGUCGCACGGAGAUUAAGUAGCUUGCUAUUUAAUCUUAGUGGCGCACGGGUGAGUAAUAUAUAGCUAACUUGCCCAUUACUAAGGGACAACAGUUGGAAACGACUGCUAAUACCUUAUACUCCGUAUCUAUAUAAGUAGAUACGGGAAAGUUUUUCGGUAAUGGAUAGGGCUAUAUCGUAUCAGCUAGUUGGUAAGGUAAUGGCUUACCAAGGCUAUGACGCGUAACUGGUCUGAGAGGAUGAUCAGUCACACUGGAACUGAGACACGGUCCAGACUCCUACGGGAGGCAGCAGUAGGGAAUAUUGCUCAAUGGGGGAAACCCUGAAGCAGCAACGCCGCGUGGAGGAUGACACUUUUCGGAGCGUAAACUCCUUUUCUUGGGAAAGAAUUAUGACGGUACCCAAGGAAUAAGCACCGGCUAACUCCGUG
rnacentral:rRNA from 1 species